CCAGCCGCCCAACGUCGCCAUUGGUUUUUCGCACUUAGCAAGACCGAUGUGCUCCGAAUUUUAUAUACUCAGCUGAAGUUACAAAAAAGCCGAUAUUUUUGGUGCAAUAAUCAGCGAAAGACAAGACGCACACGAUUGGGCCUUCAAGACAACAGAAAACAAAGUUCAAUAUUUAAGUUAUAAUCGGGACAAUUGAACCCGUGACUCUGACGAAUUAUUCAGGAUUAGGUGAAUUAAGGUGAGAGGGAAAACAGAGGGAUCAGGUGAAUUUUCCUGAGGGGUUUUUCCGAUCGAUACUGGCAGUAGGAUGAAGGACAUUCAGCACGCGUUCCUCGGGAGAAUCUCAAUCAACGACUGAUGCAGUGAUCAUAAGUAACUGAAGAAUUAAGGAGGAAUAAUGAUAAAUGAGGUUGAGCCUGCGCGAGUGAAAAAAGAGGUCCUGGUCUAACCUCUGAGCAGGCAUAAAAUUCCUCACGAUUUGGCAAUGCCGAUUAAUUCGUGGCCCUAAAGACCGGGGGAUUAGAAUAUCUCCAUGGAUAGCUGAAUCAAUGACAGCUGAUUGUGGGCCCGAGUGGUUCUGAUCGACGGUGAGGGGUGAUUUGGGGAAAAAAUUAGAGGUCAUCGAGGAAGUGGUGAACGAUGAUCACCCGAAGAGCCUCUGUGCUCACCUGCAAAUUACAGUUUAAUCAUCGAAGGGAAGGACGAGUCACUCGGGUGGGACUCGUCAGACGGUGGUCACGUGACGCGUUGCCAGACGCUAACGGGACCACAACUACGGGCCCAACGUCUGUUUAUGAGUGGGUAAGGCAGAUUGAGUGUUAAGUUUGUGGUGAUGGGAUUUUUUACGGCGUUAAUUUGAUCAUGAGGACUAAUGAUUCAUUUAAUCCAGGGUGGCAGUAGCCACUUGCCGGGGACGCCGUGCAUAUUUACCAAUCUUUAUCAACGUGUCGAGGAUUUCGGAAAGGCUUUUACUAUCACCACUCGUUGGGGCUUUUUCAGUGACUUUAUCGUCGAAUCGGACUUGGAUUGUGCGUUUGUAUUGUGGAUUUUCUAAUUUUGUGGAUUGAGUGAACGACUCGACGUGCAGACAUGGCAGACAACAGGAGUCACUGUGCAGCAUGCUCCGGCGAAUUGGGUGUUACCAGGGAUGAUAAAAACUGAUCGCUCCAUUGGUGAUGAAGAGAUAUCCAACAUCGAGUGAUUAAAAUAAAUAAUAAAAAAAUUGAAAACAGUUUAGUGGGUGGAAAAAGAUUGAAGAACAUUUGUUAAAUCUAGUUAAAUUAGUUGGUAUAUUUUUUCUUAGAAAAAGUAGGGUGAUUAAAAGGUCCGCCACCACCCCCUUUGGUAAGGGGUGUGGGGCAAUUGAUUAAUUAAUCAGUGUGGGUGGCGCGGGGGUGCGUCUGGCCCGUCGGCUGGUGCGCGUUAUUGCCCGACGUUGGGCCCUCGGGGUCGCAUACACAGGGCCAAUUUUACGUCGUGCAGUGCUGGCUACCACGGGAGUAACGGGGGUGGCCGUGGCUACGGGGGAUGCUAAUCAACCCCCGACCACGCGUCACACAAUCCCCAGUGCUAGUGCUAGUGCUAGUGCCAAUGCUGGGACAACGUCAACCUGUCCAGGACGCUCCAGGGCUAGGACAAUGUCUAUGAGGAGUCUCCGGCGUGUGUCACAUCCGUGUCAUGGAAAUGAGCGUCGGCAUUCUGGAAAGCAUGAGAAGCACUCGUCCCAAAAGCUCGAGUCCUCCUGGCCAUUCUCACUGUAAGUCUCAAAACAAGGCCAACACGUUAUAUUGUAUCAUAGGCACCUAGCACACGUAGUUGAAGGAUUUAUGAGAAUUGCUUCACCACAACGGAGGGUAAAGGGAGGUUGUAACCUCUUGUCUUUUCACCACUCGGCUUCUUUGCGGUGUAGACACUAGAAAAAUCACGAAGAAAGUAGAGUGGAAGAGCACGGGAGAAGCUAUACCCAAAUUAAUACCAGAAAUAGCCUCAAAAAUUCAACGUAGAUUCCUUAAUCUUUAAAAAAAAACAACUCAAUUAAUUCAAAUUUAGGAAUAAAGUGGAUUUGAACAUUUUCGUGAAUUAUCGAUUUAUAUUGAAAUCUAUUUUUUACGAUGAAAAUGUUACAGCAUUUUUCUUUU